rnacentral:lncRNA from 1 species
AAUAGACUAAUCUAGCUGACGAUAGAUUUAACCAACUUCAAUAAAUGAUUAUGACCCAACAGCAAUCCCUUACCAGGCUAGAAGGACAAAUAGAUCAAUUAGCUGAGUCUAUCAUGAGGAGAAAACUAGGUCAAUUGUCGAGUAAUCAAUAUCAAAUUUUGAAAAUGACCCAUUCAUCCACCAACCAUCUGAACCUAGUCAUCAAUCCA